GGGUUCUACCGUCGGUCGGGCUAACAAGUUUGUACUGGUGUGUAGAAUUUCUACCUUCUGGGGAACUAUCAUGUUAUUAAUUUAGCGUGGUGGGAAACUAGGACCUUUACCUUGAAAAAAUUAGAGUGUUCAAAGCAGGCUUACGUCUGAAUACAUUAGCAUGGAAUAAUAGAAUAGGACGGUGGUCCUGUUUUGUUGGUUUCUAGAGUCGCCGUA
rnacentral:rRNA from 1 species